AGAAAAUGGUUCUUGGGACGAUGCCUCCACCUUCCAGUCUGAUCGGUGGCAGCUUUACUCUCUUGGCUAUCAAGUGGGAGGACCGGUGGACUCGGGGUUGCUUGUCCCUGAGCCACCCCGGGGAGUGGAGUCCUCAGAGUCUAUCUCAGGAUGUAGCAGGAGUUUCGCAAGUGAAAGGACACUGAAGAAGAAGGAUGCAGCUUUUGGAAAAGAGAGAAAGAGAUGAGAAGAGCUUGAGACCAUCAGAGGUUAAAUAGUUUUCCUCAAGUUCACGCAGCUUGAAAGUAA